CACCCAUCCCUCCCCGCUCUCACGCAACACUAUAAAACUUUGCAGGAGUCUGGUUCAGCCAGUCUUUCACCACUUCCUCUUAUUGUAUGAUCACAGGUUUCUCCUGUAGUGAACAGUUUAUCUUCUCUUCUUCGCGAAGGACUAAGAGGAGUUUGAACAAGGGCUGGGACAGGAUGACCCGCAGGUCCCUAUCUGAUCCAGAAUCUCCAGUGGAAAUGGUCAGUGGUGGAGAAAGUCCUUUAGAUAUGAAUCCCUGUGUAGACACAGGUCAGCACAGGGGCCGGCAGCUCACCUGUCCCAGCCCUCCGGAGUACGGGACUGCCUUCAUGGUUUCCAAGAAGCGUAGUCCCUCACCUCCAGAGGACAGUGGACCAGAAUGGCUUGUACGGAAGAAGAGUCGACAGAGUGAAUGUCCUGCUGAUGAUGAAGCAGAUUCUGCUGAAGGCUCGAACAGUAUGGACACCACUCUCACCACCAUCGACCACCCAGCUGACGUAGACUCCAGUCAGACCACCACCGACCACCCAGCUGACGUAGACACCAGACAGGACACCACCGACCACCCAGCUGACGUAGACACCAGUCAGACCACCACCAACCACCCAGCUGACGUAGACUCCAGUCAGAACACCACCGACCACCCAGCUGACGUAGACUUUAUUCAGACCACCACCGACCACCCAGCUGAUGUAGACACCAGUCAGACCACCACCGACCACCCAGCUGACGUACACACCAGUCAGACCACCACCAACCACCCAGCUGACGUAGACACCAGUGAGACCACCACCGACCACCCAGCUGACUUAUACUCCAGUCUGACCACCACCGACCACCCAGCUGACGUAGACUCCAGUCUGACCACCACCGACCACCCAGCUGACAUAGACACCAGUGAGACCACCACCGACCACCCAGCUGACGUAGACUCGAGUCUGACCACCACCGACAACCCAGCUGUCGUAGACACCAGUCAGACCACCACCGACCACCUGGCUGACGUAGACUCCAGUCUGACCACUACCGACCACCCAGCUGACGUAGACACCAGUCAGACCACCAUUGACCACCCAGCUGACGUAGACACCAGUCAGACCACCAUUGACCACCUGGCUGACGUAGACUCCAGUCUGACCACUAUCGACCACCCAGCUGACGUAGACACCAGUCAGACCACCACCGACCACUCAUCUGACGUAGACAAUAUGAAGAUCGUUCUGGCUGGAAUCCCUAAUACUGUGAAGCUGUCCCCUGAAGAGUGGAAUAGAUUAAAUUUGAUUGAUUAUUGCUCAAUGACAAAUAAUUUAAUAUAUCCAGAUCUGUCUAAUCGAUCUCAGUCUAUUCUUCUGAUUUUAAAACUAUGUUACCUUACUCUUUAUACACCUAGAUAUGAUUCUGACAGUACUAUCAAGAACAUUGUUUCUAUUCAGCAUAAAAAAAUGCGUCAGUCAUUAAAAACAGAGGAGGAAAAGAUCAAAGUCCAGAAUCAGAAUCAGUAUGCAUUUAAUUUUUUAAGAAAAAAAAAUGGCUCGUAUACAGACCCCUCUCAACUGUAUUUCCCAAAGGACAAAGGUCAGGUUCACAGUGAGGAUUUUAUAGUUGAGGAAAUACGAGAUUAUAUCAAUAAUGGAAGAAUCAGUGAGUACAGUGAGCUGUGGAUCUUCACUCUGAACAGUCCGUGUUUGGGGAGAAAAGAUACUGAUCCCUGUAUGAUUAAGUUAACCAGUUUAUCAGAUGAACUUGACAGACUUUACCAGAUUAAAACUUUCAUCACAUAUUCCAAACCGUACGGCCCAACAGGUUCCAUCGUUAAAAUAUUACCAGAUCACACCUACAGAACCAUCCAGAACAGUGAUUACCAUCAGGACCCUCCAUCAACCGUCCCUGAAACUGAUAAAUCCACUAAAUUUAAGAUAAAGAGAUGUGAUUCGUUACCAGCUGAUAUCUCUAAUAAAGCUCUGACUUCUCUGACAGUUAGUGAGAACAAUUAUCAGUGUUGUACCAGACUGCCCACUCCUAACAAGCCAUUUAAGGUAAAAAGAUGCAAUUCGCUCACGGAAAAUAGAACUUACAAAACACCAAGUAAUUCCUCUAAAACAACAAAUCUAAACAAUUCCGAACCUCAGUUUAACAGGUCCAGUUCUGACCGUUCAUCUCAAACCAGUGAUUUCAACAAGUUACUGGAGUCAGCGAGGGACACACUCCUCACCACAGCCGAUCGUGAAUCUGAAUUCCUCAUGAAACUGUCUUCUAGAUUUAAACUAAAAAAUGUGAUGAACUCACUUAAAGAAAAUAUUCCCAAAGAUAAAUGGAAAAUACUUUUUAAUGGAUUGAAUAAAUGUUGCCCUGAAUCCCCCAAAACUCCACACAGUUUUAAAGAGUUAGAAAGCAUGGGAUUGAAUAGAGCAGAAGAACAUGAAAAGUCACUGAGAGCUUUAUUCAGUGAGCAGAUUAAUCAGAGUGUCUGUAAUACCAUCUGUGAGACGUUUAAAUCUGAGUUCCUGAGCUGGUGGACUUCAGACCUAGAAAAGUCUUACAACACAUUUCUAAACACGAGAUUCAGUGAUGCUUUUAAUAGAACAGCUGUUGAGAGGUUCAUUCACAACAUCCAGAACCUUCCAUAUAAACCUACUAUAGUCUGUGUUGAUGACAUCACUGAUUCUCAGAGUAGAGACUGUAGUCGUGACAUCACUGACUCUCAGAGUAUAGACUGUACUCGUGACAUCGCUGAUUCACAGACUGGUAAAGACUGCACAGGUGACAUCAGUGCUAUUCGGAGUAUAGAUGGUAGUGAGAGCAUCAUCAAUUCUCAGAGUAUAGACUCUCUUAGUGAUUUCACUAAUAAUCCUAAUGACAUCACUGAUUCACCUUGUGACAUCACUGAUUAUCAAAGUAAAGACUGUAGUCAUGAAAUCACUCAGAGUAUAGACUGUAGUCAUAACAUCGCUGAUUCUCAGAGUACAGACUGUAGUCGUGACAUCACUGAUUCUCAGAGUAUAGACUGUAGUCAUGACCGCUGAUUCUCAGAGUAUAGACUGUACUAGUGACAUCGCCGAUUCUCAGAGUAUAGACUGUAAUAGUAACAUCACUGAUUCUCAGAGUAUAGACUGUAGUAGUGACAUUGCUGAUUCUCAGAGUACAGACUGUAGUCUUGACAUCGCUGAUUCUCAGAGUAUAGACUGUAGUCGUGACAUCGCUGAUUCUCAGAGUAUAGACUCUCUUAGUGACAUCACUAAUACUUCUCAUGCCAUCACUGAUUCUCAGAGUAUAGACUGUAGUCUUGACAUCGCUGAUUCUCAGAGUAUAGACUCUCUUAGUGACGUCACUAAUACUCCUCAUGACAUCACUCAUUCUCAUCAUGGCAUCGCUGAUUCUCAGAUUAUAGACUCUCUUUGUGACAUCACUAAUACUCCUUAUGACAUCACUGAGUUUCCUCAUGACAUCACGGUUCUCAGAAUAUAGGAUGAAACUAAUGAUUUUUUUAGUAUAGUUUGUUUUGGUGACAUCGUUAACAGUUCUUGGUAGUACUCAGUACAUCAGUAAGAGUUUCUGUUCAGGUGCUGUUUCUCCUUCACUCUUAUCUAUCAGUAAAUUUGUCUAAACUGAAUAAAAAAAAAUUCCCCCUGAAUCUUGCUGUGUUU
rnacentral:lncRNA from 1 species